rnacentral:rRNA from 1 species
UACGUAGGGUGCGAGCGUUGUCCGGAAUUAUUGGGCGUAAAGAGCUUGUAGGCGGUUUGUCGCGUCUGCCGUGAAAGCCCAGGGCUUAACCCUGGGUCUGCGGGUGGGUACGGGCAGACUAGAGUGUGGUAGGGGAGACUGGAAUUCCUGGUGUAGCGGUGAAAUGCGCAGAUAUCAGGAGGAACACCGAUGGCGAAGGCA